AGAGUGAACGCUGGCGGUAGGCCUAACACAUGCAAGUCGAACGGCAGCACAGGAGAGCUUGCUCUCUGGGUGGCGAGUGGCGGACGGGUGAGGAAUACAUCGGAAUCUACCUUUUCGUGGGGGAUAACGUAGGGAAACUUACGCUAAUACCGCAUAAGACCUUCGGGUGAAAGCCGGGGACCUUCGGGCCUGGCGCGGAUAGAUGAGCCGACGUCGGAUUAGCUUGUUGGCGGGGUAAAAGCCCACCAAGGCGACGAUCCGUAGCUGGUCUGAGAGGAUGAUCAGCCACACUGGAACUGAGACACGGUCCAGACUCCUACGGGAGCAGCAGUGGGAAUAUUGGACAAUGGGCGCAAGCCUGAUCCAGCCAUACCGCGUGGGUGAAGAAGGCCUUGGGUUGUAAAGCCCUUUUAGUGGAAAGAAUCCUGCCGGUUAAUAACCGAGUAGGAUGACGGUACCAAAGAAUAAGCACGGACUAACGUUCGUACACGACGACGACCGCCGGAGUACUGAGACGGCGUA
rnacentral:rRNA from 1 species